GCUCUGUUGCUCUGCUUCAGAGCCUUUCCCCCAGCUUCCUAAAUGUCUGUUUGUGCAUUUUAACUCAGCAGGUGCCAAACGGUGUCACAGAUUCGGGUCUCAUUUUUCUGGAUCUGAACCAAUUGUACUCAGCUGGAGACACCUAGGUGCUAGAUGCUUUCCAGCUUGGUGACUCUGCAGAAAGGAGGAGGCCAGGCCCUGCUCUUGGAGGCGUGGGUGAUGGGAUAGCCACGGAACGCAGAAAGCUUCUCCACUCUCACCUCCAGCCCCUGCAGAUAAUACCCACCGAGUCUACUCCGUAUCUGUCCACCGUAACAAAAUAUUUGAGGCUGGGCACUUUAUAAAGAGAAGAGUGUUGUUCAGUUCACUGUUUUGGAGAUUCAGGAGUGUGACACCAACCUCUGCAGUGGUCUGGUGAGAAUUUUGGGCCACAACACCACAUGGUGGUGGCUGCAUGACAGCAACAAAUAGACAGAGUCAGAUGGGAACCUUGAGGUACUGAGGGGCCAGGCCCACUUCUGAUAUCAACGUGACUAACCAGGGUCCCACAAGAAUUACAGUAACCCUGUCAACCCAAUGUCUUAAUUGCCUUCAGCAGAUCUUACCUCUUCACAGGUUCCUCCACUUAGCACCGCCACACUGAGGGCCAGGCUUCCAGCACGUGAAUUCUUAGGGACACACUCAAAUCAUGCCACACCACAGCACGUUCCAAACCUGUCCCACCUUGUCAUCCCCUGCUUAGACUUUUCCAAAGACUGCCCUGUCACACAGGAGAAAGUCUGAGCCCUUAAGCCUCAUAUGCCAUGAGCUCUGCUUUAUUCCAACACUGCUCCUUCCCAAGCCUCAUCGCCCUUCUAUCCCUUUCUCUCUUCUGCUCCACACAAAGGAUGUACAGACUGACUCCAGGCACACUAUACUAUUAAUUUUCCCUGGCCUUAAAACAAAACUUCCUGUGCCCUGAAGGCCUUCCCACUCCCCUGGCAGCAGACUUCUACUGAAUACUGUUCAAGACCCCCAGGAGCACUUCUGCAUUAUCCCUCAUGUCCAAGCAGAAAGGAUUUCUCCUUUCCUAUGACCCACCACAUCUUGCACUGUCUGCUGCUUCUAGCACUUUAUGAGUGCACAUAUACACUCUUGAGUCUGUGGCAGCCACUGAAUACUAUUCCCAGAGUCCACUUCUGUUUUCUGUAAGACAAGGCCAUUUCCCAGAGUUGCUGCAGAAAAGUUUCUGGGUGCAUAUUCAACUCACCAAUAUCUGUCUAUGUAUAGGACAUGAAGAGCAAAGGAGAGAGAUGUUGAGAUAUUUCCUACUGGCAAGUACAGUGAUGAGACAGGAAGUUUCUCUGCAUCAUAAACCGGUAACCAGCCAAUCAUUUUAUGAUUGUCAAGAGUAGAUUUUAACAGCAGCAAUAACAGCUUCGCAUCACUGGAUUUCUGAUUCUUAGACUGCAAGUAUAUGGUAUGUUAUGGGCUCUGGAACCUAGACCCCAGUAAUUACCUAGUUUUGGGCUUUCUGAUUGGCUGCUUCCCUGAUGGGGCAGAGGUAAUCCCUCUUUGGAAGUCAUCCCUGGAACCUAUAAUCUACUCCUCCAGCCCUUAGAGUGAUUUAACCCUCCUAUUAAAAUCCU